AAUCCUGCUCAGUACAGAGGAACUGCAGGUUCAGAGGCCUGGUGCAGGCACUUGGCCGAGGAGCCUCUGGUGUGAGGCUACCCUCUGCGGGCAUAUGACUGAACACCCCUAAGUCAGAAUCCUG
rnacentral:ncRNA from 1 species